rnacentral:lncRNA from 1 species
CAGAAGUGAUUUCCACUGCAAGUUUCUGCAUAGGUAAAUGACAUGAUGCUGAUGUAUAUAUGCUUUGUAUUGCCUGGACAGUUUCCAUGCUUGAAGAGCCUGUGAUAUUUAUGUAUUCUCAACAUAUAUGUUAUCAAAAUAGUGAUAUGAUUACCCUAUUAUGUUCCUAAGAGUAAAGAACCCACCGUUUGUUUGUUUAUAAGUGAAUUUGUGUUGUCACUUCAGGAUCUAUGUACUAUUAAUUACUAUUUGAAUUCUUCAGGCUCACAUUGAC